GCUAAAUAAUGCAUAAAUUAAUAUCUUAUUCAUAGCACUUAUCAUUAUUUUAAUUCACAUAUUUUGUAAAUUCAACUAAAAAAUGUAUUACCUUCACCAGUGCAUUUUAAUGAAUUAUCAAAGGUAAUUCAAGUUUGAUUUGAUUAUUUAUUGAUUAAGUUUAAUGCAUGCAGGUCAAGUCAAGCUCAAUUAGGUAAAGCCUAAACGGACACUACAUCAUUUCAUAAUUUUAUAUUUUUAGAGUCGACUCCAAUAACUCUUUUCCAAAACCCAGUGCUUCCCAUUAAUUCCUGACUCUUCAUACGUUCACCUAAAUUUUCCCUCACUCAUUCCAACUCUUUUUCCACAUGAUCCUAUUUUAAUAAAAUCCCUUCAAUUAUUUGUUUCGCAUAUGUCAAAGUAUAUCAUCUAGUUGCAUGGAUCCCAAAGCUUCAACCAAUCCGAGUCCCUUUCUAGAGCCUGUUCAAAGAACAAAGUCGUACACUCUUCCGAACCAAAUCCAACACUCGGCCAGCUAUUCCUAUCAUAAUAGAGCUCCAUCGUCCAAGCCAAUCGAUCCCUCCGAGUACAACACGGAUUCGUAAACCAUCCUCGUUUAACCCCAUCCGAACAACUCCUUCAUCCAACCGGGAUCAACUCCAAUUUUCUCCCGAGUUAAUCACAUCCUAAAAGGCAUAACAUCUCCUCCCAGCAUUUCGCACAUUCCACAUGGCCGUCCGUUUCUCCCGUGCAUCUCCGCGUUUGCUCUUUAUCCUUAUCCCACGGCUAUCCAGGAUUCAACGUUAU
rnacentral:lncRNA from 1 species